rnacentral:rRNA from 1 species
CAGCCGCCGCGGGAAUACGAAGGGUGCAAGCGUUAAUCGGAAUUACUGGACGUAAAGCGUGCGUAGGCGGUGGUUUAAGUCCGUUGUGAAAGCCCUGGGCUCAACCUGGGAAUUGCAGUGGAUACUGGGUCACUAGAGUGUGGUAGAGGAUAGUGGAAUUUCCGGUGUAGCAGUGAAAUGCGUAGAGAUCGGAAGGAACAUCUGUGGCGAAGGCGACUAUCUGGGCCAACACUGACACUGAGGCACGAAAGCGUGGGGAGCAAACAGGAUUAGAUACCCCGGUAGUCCCUGUCUCUUAUAC